rnacentral:lncRNA from 1 species
CUGGUCUGGCUAUCCCAUCUGGCUCGCUAUCGAAUUUUCACCGCUGUCCAAACCUGGCGAUGGUCUUUGGCUCGGCAAAGCGUGGGCCCCAUGUGAACACUCCAUCUAUCCCCCAAUCCACUCGCGCACCGGCUCCCCGUCAUCGUCGCAAUGGCAUUGCCGCGCCGCCAUCGAUCUCAUGCCGCCACGUAGCAAGCCCCGUCCCUCCGGUGACGGAGGCGGCCUAGCCCCGGCCCCCUCCAGCGCCACCGCUGGCCCGGUCUCCCUCCACUGAUUGUGUUCCUCUUGCUUCAACUACAUGUUCUUGGUGCUUUACAUGUUCUGAACUCUGGUAGUCUAGUGGUAGUCCUUUCCGAACUCGUUAGGUAGCAUGGUAAUUUGCUAAUUUUCCAACUGAUUAGUAUGACUGCUGU